rnacentral:rRNA from 1 species
AACGAACGCUGGCGGCGUGCCUAAGACAUGCAAGUCGAACGGUAAGGCCCCUUCGGGGGUACACGAGUGGCGCACGGGUGAGUAACGCGUGGGUAAUCUACCGCCGGGCCCGGGACAACUCCGGGAAACUGGAGCUAAUACCGGAUGAGACCACGAGGUCCACGGAUCUCGCGGAAAAACGAUGGCCUCUGCUCGCAAGCCAUCGCCCGACGAUGAGCCCGCGUCCCAUUAGCUAGUUGGCGGGGUAACGGCCCACCAAGGCGGUGAUGGGUAGCUGGUCUGAGAGGAUGACCAGCCACACUGGGACUGAGACACGGCCCAGACUCCUACGGGAGGCAGCAGUCGGGAAUUUUGGGCAAUGGGCGAAAGCCUGACCCAGCAACGCCGCGUGAGGGAUGAAGGCCUUCGGGUCGUAAACCUCUGUCGGGAGGGAAGAACGUCUUCGGGGCGAACAGUCCCGAGGGCUGACGGUACCUCCAAAGGAAGCGCCGGCUAACUCCGUGCCAGCAGCCGCGGUAA